UAUAAAUUGCAAAAGGAAGAGAGUCAAAAGAAGUGAUACUGGCAAAUAGAACGGCAGCCUCUUCUCCCUGGGAACUGGCUUCAAAGGGCUGAAUCUGUCAACUGGUUGGAAUUUGUAAUUUAUGGUUCUGCAGCAAUCCAAUAUUCUUUGUCCUCAAGUGAUCCUAUUCCCAUGAAAGUUUAUGUUACACUGAUAAAAAUCAUUUUGCAAGUAAGAAUUAUAUUUUUGCAUCAUUUAUGAUAUUUUUAAAUGUAUUGUUCCGUGUGGA